UCGGGAAUUUUGGGCAAUGGGCGAAAGCCUGACCCAGCAACGCCGCGUGAAGGAUGAAGUAUUUCGGUAUGUAAACUUCGAAAGAAUGGGAAGAAUCAAUGACGGUACCAUUUAUAAGGUCCGGCUAACUACGUGCCAGCAGCCGCGGUAAUACGUAGGGACCAAGCGUUGUUCGGAUUUACUGGGCGUAAAGGGCGCGUAGGCGGCUUUGUAAGUCACUUGUGAAAUCUCCGGGCUUAACUCGGAACGGUCAGAUGAUACUGCUUUGCUAGAGUGCAGAAGGGGCAAUCGGAAUUCUUGGUGUAGCGGUGAAAUGCGUAGAUAUCAAGAGGAACACCUGAGGUGAAGACGGGUUGCUGGGCUGACACUGACGCUGAGGCGCGAAAGCCAGGGGAGCAAACGGGGAUU
rnacentral:rRNA from 1 species